CCCUUAGAUGUCCUGGGCCGCACGCGCGCUACACUGACAUGUUCAACAAGCCUCCUAGUUCGACAGGAUUUGGGAAAUCUUUGAACGCAUGUCGUGAUAGGGAUAGAUCAUUGCAAUUAUUGAUCUUGAACGAGGAAUUCCUAGUAAACGCGAGUCAUCAGCUCGCAUCGAUUAAGUCCCUGCCCUUUGUACACACCGCCCGUCGCUACUACCGAUUGAACGUUUUAGUGAGGCAUUUGGACCGACGCAUCUCAGUUUAACCGCUGGUUUGUGUUGGAAAGACUUCCAAACUUGAGCGUUUAGAGGAAGUAAAAGUCGUAACA
rnacentral:rRNA from 1 species